ACGUCCGAUCAGCAUCAUCAUCAGCCCUAUCUAUCGAUCGAUCUUGCCUCCUACUUCACUGAACAGUAGGAAGCGAAGCAGGGCUCUCCUCCUUCUCCAUUUUGAUGCCAGAGGCUGUCUCAGCUGCAUUCACGAAGGACGGAGCGAAAAGGAAGCGUCAGGAAUUGCCAGGACUUGAGAGAAGAUGGCACUGCUGAGUCUGGACAGUCAGUCCUCCACUCACUUCAUCAAAGAAGAAGAUCAUUCUCUCUCUUUCUCUCUCUCUCCACAUUUGUAUCCGACGAAUCAGAUCUUUCCUCAACCAUCGUCGUCUUCUUCAGCUAGGGCUCUGCUUUUUAAAUUCAUUCCGUGUAAAUUUCUCAGUCCACUACUUCAGAUCAUGGACCAAUAGAGGUCCUCCACUGACAUCAUCAAAGAAGAAGAUCUCUCUCUCUCUCGUUCUCUCGCUCUCCCUCGCACUUGAACCCGGCAAACUUGGAAUAUCAAAAAGGUUCGAGAGGAUGCUUUUGAGAGAAUUGGUGCAAUUAUUUGGGUUGUGGAAAUGGAAAAAUGUGAUAAGAUGGCUUGGCUAGCAAAGGGUUGGAAUAAAUAUGCAGAGCAUUACUCUAUUUGUGAGGGCCAAUUUUUGGUCUUCUAAUCAGAAGGGGACUCCAUUUUCCAUGUCAUCAUAAUCGAUGAAAGGAUGUUUGAGAUAGAAUAUCUACCAAUCAAUGUCGAUGUGAGGAACCGAGCCUCAGCAAUUGUGGAUUUGUCUUGCUGAAAGCGGAAGAUGCCUUCGAUUUGUGAUGUUUCAGCCAAGCUUGAAGUCCGGGGGGAUGGAUUGCAUUCAACCAAGUGUCCGCAGUCUUGUAUAGAAAUGGAAUCUGAUCAGGUUUGCAAAGUUCAUGGCAAUUCCUAUGCACAUUCAUCAGCAGAGUUUGGGAGGAACAGAAGUUCAAACUGCUCAUCACAAGAUUUUCCAGGUAAGCUGAGGGGCUUGUGCAAAGCUCUUGAACUGGCCAGCAAAUUAAUACUCGAUUAUUCUUUCUCCGAAAUUGCGG